CACGUAGGGUGCGAGCGUUGUCCGGAAUUAUUGGGCGUAAAGAGCUCGUAGGCGGUGUGUCGCGUCGGCCGUGAAAACCUGCAGCUUAACUGUGGGCGUGCGGUCGAUACGGGCAUCACUGGAGUUCGGCAGGGGAGACUGGAAUUCCUGGUGUAGCGGUGAAAUGCGCAGAUAUCAGGAGGAACACCGGUGGCGAAGGCGGGUCUCUGGGCCGAUACUGACGCUGAGGAGCGAAAGCGUGGGGAGCAACAGG
rnacentral:rRNA from 1 species